UACAGAGGGGGCAAGCGUUAUUCGGAAUUAUUGGGCGUAAAGCGCACGUAGGCGGCUUGGCAAGUCGGAUGUGAAAUCCCUCGGCUCAACCAAGGAAGUGCAUCCGAAACUGCUGAGCUUGAGUACGAAAGAGGAUCGCGGAAUUCCCGGUGUAGAGGUGAAAUUCGUAGAUAUCGGGAGGAACACCAGUGGCGAAGGCGGCGAUCUGGGUCGAUACUGACGCUGAGGUGCGAAAGCGUGGGGAGCAAACAGG
rnacentral:rRNA from 1 species